GGGGUGGUGGCGCAGUUGGCUAGCGCGUAGGUCUGACAAUCCUGAGGUCGAGAGUUCGAGCCUCUCUCACCCCA